rnacentral:ncRNA from 2 species
AUCCGCACAGAUCGCGUCGGUGCCCUUCGGGGCUUGAAUGGGAAUGCGGUGCGGGGUUCGCCCCAAGACCGCAGCUGUCCCUGCAACUGUAAGCGGCGAGCGACACGCACGCGCCCCCUGCGACGGGGGCAGCCACUGGGCCGAUGGCCUGGGAAGGUGUGCGUCGAGCCUUGACCCGCGAGCCAGGAGACCUGCCGGCGUCUGGUCGCUCUU